rnacentral:sRNA from 2 species
CCAUCGCCAUUUCUAUUUUUUUAAGCGCCUAGAUCUUUUGCGGUAUGAAAAAGGAGUUAUACGGAGUUCAAAUCAGAUCCAUGUUGAGCAGAUUAUAUACGCCAGGCAACAGUACCUCCAGAUCUACCUCGGUAAUGUCAUCCUGUCCAUGACCAUGGAUAUCACUGUUUUGUUAUUCUACCUCCUAUCCUCUUUACCCUCCGAUAUCAAAUCACCGUCUGUAUAAUCCAUACUAUAUAUAUUCGCACAUCGUGAUACACACUCAGCACAUGCAACCGGUAUCAAACACAAAUUUCCACACAUACACAAGCACCACAGGCACAAACAUCUCCCACGAUGCCUCUACCCCCCACCCUCCUUAAAGGCAGUUGCCUCUGCUCCAAAACCUCCUUUACCUCCACAAAAUUACCCCUCUGCCUCACCCAUUGCCACUGCAUCCCCUGCCGCAAACUCUCAGGAGGGCCUUUCACAACCUGGGCAGAUUUUCCCAGCAAUGCCAUAAGCUGGACGCCCCCUGCAGCUGCUACUGCAGCUCCUAUUGCAACAUCUACGACUUCGUCUACUAGUGGCAACCCUGAAGCCCCUGCCUGCGGCAAUGGAAUGCCUACACUAAGACGCUCAAGCAAAAUCGCCACGCGCGGGUUUUGUGAAUCAUGUGGUUCGACGGUUUCUAUGCAGUAUGAUAUGGACCCGGAUGUUUUGGGGGUGGCAGUGGGUUUAAUCGAUGAAGAUUGUCACGGAGAUGUUGGGGCGGUGUUGGAGAUAUUACCGCAGAAACAUAUAUUUCUGAAAGACAAAGCGCGGUGGUUUAAAGUCGAGAAGGGCAGCGUGGGCGAGGCGAGUG